GACGAACGCUGGCGGCGUGCCUAAUACAUGCAAGUAGAACGCUGAAGAGAGGAGCUUGCUCUUCUUGGAUGAGUUGCGAACGGGUGAGUAACGCGUAGGUAACCUGCCUUGUAGCGGGGGAUAACUAUUGGAAACGAUAGCUAAUACCGCAUAACAAUGGAUGACACAUGUCAUUUAUUUGAAAGGGGCAAUUGCUCCACUACAAGAUGGACCUGCGUUGUAUUAGCUAGUAGGUGAGGUAAUGGCUCACCUAGGCGACGAUACAUAGCCGACCUGAGAGGGUGAUCGGCCACACUGGGACUGAGACACGGCCCAGACUCCUACGGGAGGCAGCAGUAGGGAAUCUUCGGCAAUGGGGGCAACCCUGAUCGAGCAACGCCGCGUGAGUGAAGAAGGUUGUCGGAUCGUAAAGCUCUGUUGUAAGUCAAGAACGGGUGUGAGAGUGGAAAGUUCACACUGUGACGGUAGCUUACCAGAAAGGGACGGCUAACUACGUG
rnacentral:rRNA from 1 species